rnacentral:rRNA from 1 species
AAGGGUCUGUAGGUGGUUUUGACAGUCUGCUGUUAAAUCUCAGGGCUCAACCCUGUUAAGGCAGCAUGAAACUACGAAUCUUGAGUACGGUAGGGGCAGAGGGAAUUCCCGGUGGAGUGGUGAAAUACGUAGAUCUCGGGAAGAACACCAAAGGCGAAAGCACUCUGCUGGGCCGAGACUGACACUGAGGGACGAAAGCUAGGGGAGCGAAAGGGAUUAGAUACCCUGGU